rnacentral:rRNA from 1 species
GACGAAGGAUGCAAGCGUUAUCCGGAUUCAUUGGGUUUAAAGGGAGCGUAGGUGGCCUGAUAAGUCAGUGGUGAAAUCUCGAGGCUUAACCUCGAAAUUGCCAUUGAUACUGUUAGGCUUGAGUAUAGUUCCGUUGGCGGAAUAUGACAUGUAGUGGUGAAAUACAUAGAGAUGUCAUAGAACACCGAUUGCGAAGGCAGCUAACGAAACUAUAACUGACACUGAGGCUCGAAAGUGCGGGGAUCAAACAGG